GGGAUAGUAGCUCAGUGGUAGAGCGCUUGCCUUGCAUGCAUGAGGCCCUACAUUCGAUUCCU
rnacentral:tRNA from 1 species